UACGUAGGGGGCGAGCGUUGUCCGGAUUUACUGGGCGUAAAGAGCACGCAGGCGGUCGUUCAAGUCGCGUGUGAAAGCCCCCGGCUCAACUGGGGAGGGUCACGCGAUACUGAUCGACUCGAAGGCAGGAGAGGGUAGUGGAAUUCCCGGUGUAGUGGUGAAAUGCGUAGAUAUCGGGAGGAACACCAGUGGCGAAGGCGACUACCUGGCCUGUUCUUGACGCUGAGGCGCGAAAGCUAGGGGAGCAAACGGG
rnacentral:rRNA from 1 species